rnacentral:rRNA from 1 species
AAAUUUGAAAUCUGGCUCCUAGAGCCCGAGUUGUAAUUUGUAGAGGAUGCUUUUGAUGCGGUGCCUUCCGAGUUCCCUGGAACGGGACGCCAUAGAGGGUGAGAGCCCCGUCUGGUCGGAUGCCAAAUCUCUGUAAAGCUCCUUCGACGAGUCGAGUAGUUUGGGAAUGCUGCUCAAAAUGGGAGGUAUAUGUCUUCUAAAGCUAAAUAUUGGCCAGAGACCGAUAGCGCACAAGUAGAGUGAUCGAAAGAUGAAAAGCACUUUGAAAAGAGGGUUAAAUAGUACGUGAAAUUGUUGAAAGGGAAGCGCCUAUGACCAGACUUGGGCCCGGGAAUCAUCCAGCGUUCUCGCUGGUGCACUUUGCCGGGCACAGGCCAGCAUCAGUUUGUCUUGGGGGAAAAAGGCUUUGGGAACGUGGCUCCUUCGGGAGUGUUAUAGACCAUUGCAUAAUACCCUGGGACGGACUGAGGUUCGCGCAUCUGCAAGGAUGCUGGCGUAAUGGUCAUCAGCGACCCGUCUUGAAACACGGACCAAGGAGUCGUCUUCGUAUGCGAGUGUUCGGGUGUAAAACCCCUACGCGUAAUGAAAGUGAACGCAGGUGAGAGCUUCGGCGCAUCAUCGACCGAUCCUGAUGUUCUCGGAUGGAUUUGAGUAAGAGCAUACGGGGCCGGACCCGAAAGAAGGUGAACUAUUCCUGUAUAGGGUGAAGCCAGAGGAAACUCUGGUGGAGGCUC